rnacentral:lncRNA from 1 species
CUGCCUAACGUCCUGGGAGAAAUUUUAACUUGCAUUAAAUUCAAGUAAAAGAGUGAAAAUAUUAUGCUCUCCCACUAUUGCUUCUAGUAAGGAACAAUACAGAAGUUACUAGACCUAGAGCUCAGAUCCACCAUUUGCUCAAAUGGAGCUGUACUUCAUAAUUGAGAACUGUGGGCAAAUGAUAGAAGAUUUCAGAAUUCACUAGACUAUAGACAAGAUAUAAGAAAUAAACAAACAUAACAGAUACUUUCAAAAAUGAGAAUCAAGUUAUAUAGUAAGCAGCUUAGUGCAAAU